ACGACCAUACCUGCAAUAGAAUACGGGAUCCCGUCCGCUCUCCCAUAGUCAAGCCUGCAAGGGGCGGAUUAGUAGUUGGGUCGGUGACGACCAGCGAAUACCUGCUGUUGUAUGUU
rnacentral:rRNA from 2 species